rnacentral:sRNA from 1 species
CUUGGUCAUUUAGAGGAAGUAAAAGUCGUAACAAGGUCUCCGUAGGUGAACCUGCGGAGGGAUCAUUACAAGUGACCCCGGUCUUACCACCGGGAUGUUCAUAACCCUUUGUUGUCCGACUCUGUUGCCUCCGGGGCGACCCUGCCUUCGGGCGGGGGCUCCGGGUGGACACUUCAAACUCUUGCGUAACUUUGCAGUCUGAGUAAACUUAAUUAAUAAAUUAAAACUUUUAACAACGGAUCUCUUGGUUCUGGCAUCGAUGAAGAACGCAGCGAAAUGCGAUAAGUAAUGUGAAUUGCAGAAUUCAGUGAAUCAUCGAAUCUUUGAACGCACAUUGCGCCCCCUGGUAUUCCGGGGGGCAUGCCUGUUCGAGCGUCAUUUCACCACUCAAGCCUCGCUUGGUAUUGGGCAACGCGGUCCGCCGCGUGCCUCAAAUCGACCGGCUGGGUCUUCUGUCCCCUAAGCGUUGUGGAAACUAUUCGCUAAAGGGUGUUCGGGAGGCUACGCCGUAAAACAACCCCAUUUCUAAGGUUGACCUCGGAUCAGGUAGGGAUACCCGCUGAACUUAAGCAUAUCAAUAAGCGGAGGAAAAGAAGCCAACAGGGAUUGCUCUAGUAACGGCGAGUGAAGCAGCAAUAGCUCAAAUUUGAAAUCUGGCGUCUUCGACGUCCGAGUUGUAAUUUGUAGAGGAUGCUUCUGAGUAACCACCGACCUAAGUUCCUUGGAACAGGACGUCAUAGAGGGUGAGAAUCCCGUAUGCGGUCGGAAAGGUGCUCUAUACGUAGCUCCUUCGACGAGUCGAGUUGUUUGGGAAU